rnacentral:rRNA from 1 species
UACGUAGGGCGCAAGCGUUAAUCGGAAUUACUGGGCGUAAAGCGUGCGCAGGCGGUUAUGUAAGACAGAUGUGAAAUGCCCGGGCUUAACCUGGGAACUGCAUUUGUGACUGCAUGGCUAGAGUUUGGCAGAGGGGGGUAGAAUUCCACGUGUAGCAGUGAAAUGCGUAGAUAUGUGGAGGAACACCGAUGGCGAAGGCAGCCCCCUGGGCCUGCACUGACGCUCAUGCACGAAAGCGUGGGGAGCAAACAGGAUAGAUAC